CCACCACCGCCGCUGUCGCAGGAUAGUAGUUGUAGUAGGAAAAGGCCGCUGCCGCACCGCCGGCGACGACGAUGAUGCAAAGGAGGAGGAUCCAUGUGCGCACAGUUUGGCAGCGCGGGGUCGGGGCCGGCGAGCGGGCGGUGGCGCCGGGAGGGUGCUCCUCUGUCUUGCCAGACAUCUUGUAGUUGCACCUGCACGCGCGAGACUUGGUGUUGUCGUCGUCGUUGUGGGGAUCGCCAGCCGUGGUCGACGGCAACGUGCCAAGAGGCUGGACGACGGCGGUUUCGUCUGCAGACGGCAUCCCAUCGACCUCGUUGCCCCAGGACCUGAUGGUGGGGUCAAACACGGGUUGGAUGACGGGCGCAUCGUUCACCUCGACAGAGGCACGGAGAGGCUCGGCCUCGGCGGGCGCGAUGGCGGGCGAUUGCGACAUGAUCAAGCGGACAAAUGGAAAGAGGCAGGUGGUUUGUGUGUUGUGGGGCGAUGUGAGCCCGGCGGCCUGCGGGCCUUUUUAUGACGCGACGCGCCACCACUGUAACCAAUCCGACCGUUGCCUCCCAAUCGGUCGGCCAGAUGCUUGGCGGCGGUCGAGUCCAUUGGUACCGGCAUAAAAAUGUACGGAAUCCGCUCGUGUGGGCGCGUGGUAUGAUAUUUUUUUUAAAAAAAAGGGAGGG
rnacentral:lncRNA from 1 species